GGAAAAACGUGGCUUGAUUACUAAAGUGGUUUCUGAAUUCUUUAUAUCCAAUUUAUAAAUUUCUUUGAAUUACUGUAUCCUAUUCCGUUUGAAGCUUGAAGUGUAGGUUGAUUGAUUGUCUCCACUUAUAUUCCGUGAGGUCGUGCGAGAUACUCGAAUUUGAGGUGUACCUAUUCAGGUUCCAUUCAAUAUAGUUCAGGGAACGAAUGCAACGAAUUCCACGAAACCCACAAACGUAA